rnacentral:rRNA from 1 species
GAUGAACGCUGGCGGCGUGCCUAAUACAUGCAAGUCGAACGAAGUGAAGAGGAGCUUGCUCCUUGGAACUUAGUGGCGAACGGGUGAGUAAUACAUAAGCAACCUGCCUCGAUGCCUGGGAUAACAGAGGGAAACUUCUGCUAAUACCGGAUACGUUAAUCUAAGACAUCUUAGAUUAAUUAAAGAUGGGAUACAUCACAACGAGAUGGGCUUAUGGCGCAUUAGUUAGUUGGUAAGGUAACGGCUUACCAAGACGAUGAUGCGUAGCCGACCUGAGAGGGUGACCGGCCACACUGGGACUGAGACACGGCCCAGACUCCUACGGGAGGCAGCAGUAGGGAAUUUUCGGCAAUGGGGGAAACCCUGACCGAGCAACGCCGCGUGAGUGAAGACGGCCUUCGGGUUGUAAAGCUCUGUUGUAAGGGAAGAACGAUAGGAAGAGGGAAUGCUUUCUAUAUGACGGUACCUUACCAGAAAGCCACGGCUAACUACGUGCCAGCAGCCGCGGUAAUACGUAGGUGGCAAGCGUUAUCCGGAAUUAUUGGGCGUAAAGGGAGCGCAGGCGGUUUAUCAAGUUUAUGGUUAAAGUUCGGGGCUUAACCCCGUGAUGCCAUAGAAACUGGUAGACUAGAGUGCAGGAGAGGUUAGUGGAAUUCCAUGUGUAGCGGUAAAAUGCGUAGAUAUAUGGAGGAACACCAGUGGCGAAGGCGGCUAACUGGCCUGUAACUGACGCUGAGGCUCGAAAGCGUGGGGGAGCAAAUAGG